GAUGAACGCUAGCGGCAGGCUUAACACAUGCAAGUCGAGGGGUAGAGGAAGCUUGCUUCCUUGAGACCGGCGCACGGGUGCGUAACGCGUAUGCAACCUACCUUUUACAGAGGGAUAGCCCCAGAGAAAUUUGGAUUAAUACCUCAUGGUAUAUAUCAUUCGCAUGUUGAUAUAUUAAAGUUCCAACGGUAAAGAUGGGCAUGCGUCUAUUAGCUAGAUGGUAAGGUAACGGCUUACCAUGGCAACGAUAGGUAGGGUCCUGAGAGGAGAUCCCCACACUGGUACUGAGACCACGGACCAGACUCUAC
rnacentral:rRNA from 1 species